rnacentral:rRNA from 1 species
UACGUAGGUGGCAAGCGUUGUCCGGAAUUAUUGGGCGUAAAGCGCAGCGCAGGCGGCCUUUUAAGUCUGAUGUGAAAGCCCACGGCUCAACCGUGGAAGGUCAUUGGAAACUGAAAGGCUUGAGUACAGAAGAGGAAAGCGGAAUUCCACGUGUAGCGGUGAAAUGCGUAGAGAUGUGGAGGAACACCAGUGGCGAAGGCGGCUUUCUGGUCUGUAACUGACGCUGAGGCGUGAAAGCGUGGGGAGCAAACAGG